AUUGAACGCUGGCGGCAUGCCUUACACAUGCAAGUCGAACGGCAGCACGGGAGCAAUCCUGGUGGCGAGUGGCGAACGGGUGAGUAAUACAUCGGAACGUGCCCAGUCGUGGGGGAUAACGUAGCGAAAGCUACGCUAAUACCGCAUACGAUCUGUGGAUGAAAGCGGGGGACCGUAAGGCCUCGCGCGAUUGGAGCGGCCGAUGUCAGAUUAGGUAGUUGGUGGGGUAAAGGCCCACCAAGCCGACGAUCUGUAGCUGGUCUGAGAGGACGACCAGCCACACUGGGACUGAGACACGGCCCAGACUCCUACGGAGGCAGCAGUGGGGAAUUUUGGACAAUGGGCGCAAGCCUGAUCCAGCAAUGCCGCGUGCAGGAUGAAGGCCUCGGUUGUAAC
rnacentral:rRNA from 1 species